rnacentral:rRNA from 1 species
UACGUAGGUGGCGAGCGUUGUCCGGAUUUACUGGGCGUAAAGGGAGCGUAGGCGGACUUUUAAGUGAGAUGUGAAAUACCCGGGCUCAACUUGGGUGCUGCAUUUCAAACUGGAAGUCUAGAGUGCAGGAGAGGAGAAUGGAAUUCCUAGUGUAGCGGUGAAAUGCGUAGAGAUUAGGAAGAACACCAGUUGCGAAGGCGGCUCUCUGGACUGUAACUGACGCUGAGGCACGAAAGCGUGGGGAGCAAACAGGAUUAGAUACCCCU